rnacentral:lncRNA from 1 species
AUUUCUCUCAUUCUGUGCAUUCCUAAUUGGGAGGAGAUAAUCAACAUCUAAUUUUAUGUUACAUUAAGGAUGAUGUAAGGAAGACAUAAAGAUAUAUUUCCAGUUAUCACAAAUAUAGAAUCAAUUGACUACAACGUAAUUAUGUCUAGCGUAGGACAACAUAGAAGAGUUUCCAUAUCUUUUAAUAUUAUAAUAUCUCACUAUAUUAUUGGUUAAAUCAGUUUUCUCUAGCACAAAUACUCACUCAAUUCUUAGAGUUUAAGCUUUUCUAUAUGAUGAUAUUAGUAGUUUGAUCCAAAAAAAAAAACGGUCGAACUGUACACUAUAAUUGGAGAAAGAAAACAAACAAAAAUCAACCGAAGACUUUUAAGGUAUAUGAAACAAAAAUUGGAAAUAUCAAUUCUCUGCAUUUAAAGAAUAAUGCAAUAAAAUUGUAAAAAUACAAAAUAAAACAAAAAAAUACACAGAAAGAAAGAUUUAGUAAAAUAAAAUCAUAAUAUAAAAUUGAUAGUGCUCAGCUACACUAAAAAGUCUAAAUUUACAACAUACACAGUUUUAUUUACAUCUUGAAACCUAUUAUCUAAUUAAAAUGAUUCUAAAAAAAGUGCCAGCACGAAGAGUUAAAAAAUAUACAAUAAAAUACAAUACAUAACGUUAAAAAUACAUUAUCACUGUAGCUAAAAAAACCUUAUAUAGGCUGAAUAAGCUGAAGGUUAUCUGCCAUGUACUUAUGCCAAGCUGUCAAGAAAAAUAUGUGAAACUUUGGUAGAUAAACCACAAACUAUUAAAAGAAGGUCGUAUAUAAUUCUGCAGAAUAUGUUUAUUUGCUAUGUUUAGAAGAGGGAAUCUUGUAUGUAAUUACUAUUACUGAAUUGUCAUUUCCUAAAGACAACUUUUGAAUACAUCCCAAAACUAUAAGACUUAUCAUUUCUUUGUUAGCCAAGUGAAAACCC